GACGUAGGGCGCGAGCGUUGUCCGGAUUUAUUGGGCGUAAAGAGCUCGUAGGUGGCCUGUCGCGUCGGCUGUGAAAACUCGGGGCUCAACUCCGAGCUUGCAGUCGAUACGGGCAGACUAGAGGUAGGUAGGGGAGAAUGGAAUUCCCGGUGUAGCGGUGAAAUGCGCAGAUAUCGGGAGGAACACCGGUGGCGAAGGCGGUUCUCUGGGCCUUACCUGACGCUGAGGAGCGAAAGCGUGGGGAGCGAACAGG
rnacentral:rRNA from 1 species